AGGGGGCGCCAGUGCCAUGCUGCCCCUCAUCCCCUCCACAAUUCGUGGAUAUUUUUUUAACCUGUAACCCCUUCGGGGAGCUUCCUAAGGGCCACGGUGGGGGGGUCUGCAAGGGUCCCCCCUCCCCCCGCCAGUCUCUUAGAUCAUUUCCGCAGCCCAUUCCGGGCUAAUUUUCAGGCCUGUUUGGGCCUACAAAGAUCAGUGUGGUGGCCAUUUUGGAGGUCGCUGCAUAUGCUCAAAAGGCCUCUGCGAGGCCUGGCAAGGCAUAGGACUUCACAGGGACCAUUUGAGCGUGUGCGGCAGCCAUUAAAAAAAAAUUAAAGGCUGCUGAAAACAUAAAUGGCUGGCGCACAUGUUCAAAUGACCUCUGCAAGACUGAUUUUUCCCUGAUCUAGGGAGUCAGAAGAAUGCAAAGUUGUUGGCAAGGGACCCGAGCAUUUAAAAAACAGAUAUAAAUGGCACAAAAAAAUGAAUUUCAUCUGCCUGACCCCCGACCUCUGCUAUUGGAAAGGAAUAAACUGCAAGAGGACGAAGGACAAAGUUAUGGAACAAGGAGAGUGGUCAUGGAUGAACUGCCACAGCUUCACCCGUAUACCUUUACAAAUGGAAAAUACCGCCGCCCCGCCCCCCACGCGCCACACACACAUUUCAUACUGCUGCAACUUAAUCCCAGAGCAUUCAUUGGAUUAAGACAUGGAUAUGUAACAUUUAAGCUUUUCUCUGAUGGACUAGAGCGUCAAUUUUCAGCACCCUGUCAGAUCCCAUUAUACACACUCACCCCAUAUUUGACUCCCAAGGGGAGCUUUUCUGAUGUGUGCUGUUUUCUGAUGGGAAUGGGCUAGAGUGUCAGUUGCCAUCACCCUGGCAGAUUUCACUAUCAAUGUAUGUUUUUUGGAUGAGAGCUUAGUUUUCAGUAUAUGGACAUGUAACAUGUAAACAUGGACGGGCCUUCUCCAUUGCUGCCCUGAGGCUUUGGAAUAUACUUCCUGCUGAAAUAAGAGCUUCCCCAUCUCUUACCACUUUUUAAAAGGCAGUCAAGACACAUUUCUUCACCCAAGCUUUUAAUUAGAUAUUGUUUUAAUUGUGUUUUUAAUAGUUUUAACAUCUUAAAUUUUAAUUGUUGUAAUGUGUUAAUCUUUUUUUCUGUUUAUAUUGUUUUGUUGUAAACCGCCCAGAGACUUGCGUUUGGGGCGGUAUAUAAAUGUUUUAAAUAAAUAAAAGUAAUAACAAACAUGGAACAAACAAAACACAUAAGAUGUAUGUUCCCUUGAGUAUGUUGUAUUCAUGUCCUCCUGUCAUGUUCACACAUGUUUCAGAUGUGUUUCUAAGCCUGUGAAAAUAAACAGAAAUUCAAUAUAGAUAGUAA